rnacentral:rRNA from 1 species
AUGCUCAAUGCUCUGACCCAUCCUCCCUUGGCACUGGCAGGGAGGCGAAAAGGGUUGCUAGUCAUUGACCGGUCUCGAUCGGUCCGCAGCUCAGAGAAAGAAGAGCCUCAGCAUUCAAUGCCAGCUGGCCUGGUCAACCUGGGCCCGGCCGCAGCGCCAUUCAUCAAUCACCCAAGCGGGGCUUCGCCUACGUGCCGGUGGCCAUGCACACGAGCACUGUCGCCACUCACUGCUGCAUACGCAGUGGCUACAUGCCUCGCCAAUUUCAAAUGUCAACAGGUAGUAAUCAUUUCAUAUCGGACGUGUGCGCGGAACUGUUUCCGAAUUUCAAACGGUUCAACCUUGCCAACUGCGACCUGUGUUCGAUCUUUAUUGCAUCAGCUAAUUCUACGUAGUACUACCGGUGUUCGUGUAUGCUCAAUUUUACAUCAAUAUCUCCAUGUCGUCGACGCUGAGCUCCCCGGAGACAAGCUGCUCCCUACUGGUACCACCGCCACCGCCAGUGGUGUCCCCGCCGUCCCCCGUAUACGUGUACGCAUACGCGCCGUCGUGCUGGAGCUCCGCGUUCGCGCCGCCCUGCGCGGUGCCAGCGCCGGCGCGCGCCUCCGCGUAGUGCUGCCUGGGCACGCCGUCCCGCGCCGCCACGAGCUGCGCGUCGGCGGCCAUGCCCGCGUCGGACGCCACGCUCUGCACGGACCGCGGCGAGAGGGGCGCCACGGAGCCGGCACCGUACGCGGCGGCCGCACGCUCCGGGAAGUUGAGCCCAGCGGCGCCGUUGCCGGAGAGGGAGCCGCCGCGGAGGAAGUAGACGGCCGUGUCGUGCGCGACGGCGGCGGCCUCGGGCGUGGCGUAGGAGCCCAGCCACAGGCGCUCCCGCGUGCCGGGCACCCGGAUCUCCGACACCCACUUCCCCCACCGCCGCCGCCGCACGCCCUUGUACCGGCACCGCUCCUCCUCGCCGCCCCUCGCCACCGACGCCUCCGCGCUGCUCAUGGCUGGCUGACCACCUUCCGAGCCUCUGACCUCGCCUCUUUCUCAACGCACGGCCGAGCUUCCAAGUGA